rnacentral:rRNA from 1 species
CAAGGUUAAACUCAAAUGAAUUGACGGGGGCCCGCACAAGCGGUGGAGCAUGUGGUUUAAUUCGAUGCAACGCGAAGAACCUUUACCUACUCUUGACAUCCAGAGAACUUNCCAGAGAUGCNUUGGUGCCUUCGGGAACUCUGAGACAGGUGCUGCAUGGCUGUCGUCAGCUCGUGUUGUGAAAUGUUGGGUUAAGUCCCGCAACGAGCGCAACCCUUAUCCUUUGUUGCCAGCGGUNCGGCCGGGAACUCAAAGGAGACUGCCAGUGAUAAACUGGAGGAAGGUGGGGAUGACGUCAAGUCAUCAUGGCCCUUACGAGUAGGGCUACACACGUGCUACAAUGGCGCAUACAAAGAGAAGCGACCUCGCGAGAGCAAGCGGACCUCAUAAANNGCGUCGUAGUCCGGAUUGGAGUCUGCAACUCGACUCCAUGAAGUCGGAAUCG